rnacentral:rRNA from 1 species
GUGUCAGCAGCCGCGGUAAGACGUAGGGGGCCAGCGUUGUUCGGAAUUACUGGGUGUAAAGGGUUCGUAGGCGGUGUGGCAAGUCGGGAGUGAAAUCCCUGGGCUUAACCCAGGGGCUGCUUCUGAAACUGCCGUGCUAGAGUGUGGGAGAGGCGCGUGGAAUUCCUGGUGUAGCGGUGAAAUUCGUAGAUAUCGGGAGGAACACCUGUGGCGAAAGCGGCUCACUGGACCACAACUGACGCUGAUGCACGAAAGCUAGGGGAGCAAACAGGAUUAGAAACCCCUGUAGUCC